UGCCAGCCGCCGCGGUAACACGAACCGGACAAACGUUAUUCGGAAUUACUGGGCUUAAAGAGUACGUAGGCGGCCAAGUAGGUGGGGUGUGAAAGCCCACGGCUCAACCGUGGAAUUGCGCUCCAAACCACUUGGCUUGAGGGAGACAGGGGUAUGCGGAACUGAUGGUGGAGCGGUGAAAUGCGUUGAUAUCAUCAGGAACACCAGUGGCGAAGGCGGCAUACUGGGUCUCUUCUGACGCUGAGGUACGAAAGCUAGGGUAGCGAACAGGAUUAGAUA
rnacentral:rRNA from 1 species